UAAAAGGUAGACUAAUUUAAGUCAGUAGAUUCAUAAUUUAUUAAUAAAUUAAUAUUUUCUUUUAA
rnacentral:tRNA from 1 species